GCGCGCUUAGCUCAGCGGUAGAGCACUUCCUUCACACGGAAGGGGUCGCAGGUUCGAACCCUGCAGCGCGCACCA
rnacentral:tRNA from 2 species